CCUACGGGGGGCUGCAGUGGGGAAUAUUGGACAAUGGGGGGAACCCUGAUCCAGCCAUGCCGCGUGUGUGAAGAAGGCCCUCGGGUUGUAAAGCACUUUCAGUGAGGAAGAACGCCUGGUGGUUAAUACCCAUCAGGAAAGACAUCACUCACAGAAGAAGCACCGGCUAACUCCGUGCCAGCAGCCGCGGUAAUACGGAGGGUGCGAGCGUUAAUCGGAAUUACUGGGCGUAAAGCGCGCGUAGGUGGCUUGAUAAGCCGGUUGUGAAAGCCCCGGGCUCAACCUGGGAACGGCAUCCGGAACUGUCAAGCUAGAGUGCAGGAGAGGAAGGUAGAAUUCCCGGUGUAGCGGUGAAAUGCGUAGAGAUCGGGAGGAAUACCAGAGGCGAAGGCGGCCUUCUGGACUGACACUGACACUGAGGUGCGAAAGCGUGGGUAGCAAACAGGAUUAGAUACCCUAGUAGUC
rnacentral:rRNA from 1 species